CCUACGGGUGGCAGCAGGGAGGAAUAUUGGUCAAUGGACGAGAGGCUGAACCAGCCAAGUAGCGUGAAGGAUGACGGCCCUAUGGGUGGUAAACUUCGUUUAUAAGGGAAUAAAAUGUUCCACGUGUGGGAUUUUGUAUGUACCAUAUGAAUAAGGAUCGGCUAACUCCGUGCCAGCAGCCGCGGUAAUACGGAGGAUCCGAGCGUUAUCCGGAUUUAUUGGGUUUAAAGGGAGCGUAGGUGGAUUGUUAAGUCAGUUGUGAAAGUUUGCGGCUCAACCGUAAAAUUGCAGUUGAAACUGGCAGUCUUGAGUACAGUAGAGGUGGGCGGAAUUCGUGGUGUAGCGGUGAAAUGCUUAGAUAUCACGAAGAACUCCGAUUGCGAAGGCAGCUCACUGGACUGCAACUGACACUGAGGCUCGAAAGUGUGGGUAUCAAACAGGAUUAGAUACCCGAGUAGUC
rnacentral:rRNA from 1 species